GUUUUUUUUUUGCUAUCUUGUGAUUCUUUCCUGCACACAAGCUUCCUGCCGAUGUCAAAAGGUCACAGUUCAAAGGUGGUGGAAGCUUGAUCCAAUUACAGGCUUGUCAUAUACUGCACAUGAUCCACCUGUGCCAUUUGCUACUCAAAGGCAAUGUGGGGAACUGUCUGGAAUGUAACACUGGAAUGUCACAUUUCAGAGUGAAACAGCGGGAGUGAAAGACGACCCGACAUCAUCUUAUGUGAGAGCGGAUAGCAAGAAAAUGAAGAAGAAUACUGGGGAAGAGACUGAGGACAGCAAGCAAGUUGUUCUGAUGCGUCCUUUUAUUUUUUUGCUGUCCUUUGAGUCUACACAUGGAUAUAAAAUUAGCAUAUCAUUGUAGAAAUGACAACAGUAAAUACAUUCUUUAUACGUAUUCGUGUUCUUGUUGUGUCCGUAGUCUCCACUUUGUUGUCAUGCUCCAUUUUCUUGCUGUCCUCUCUUCAAGAGACACAGCAUUGGAACAUU